AAUUAAACAUUUGUUUUUCAUUACAAAUUUUAUGUAUUACCUUUUGUAGUUGUUUCUUUAUCAUAUGGUACUAAAAUCAUUCAAAACAAUCAAUUUGUGUUGGCCACAGAUGACUUUUAAAAUGUAUACAUCAUUGAAAAAGUUCCAAAUUAUCUCCCUUUGGUGGAAAAAUGCCAUUUUUUGGCUUUAAAAUUGAAAUAUCUUUUUUAACUCAUCGGUGACCUGUAUUUUUUAAUAUAAUUUCCAUAUAAGCUGUACUUAAGCUAAAUUAUUGUAAAAUUUGAGCGAGUUCUGUAAUAAAUUUACUUUUUUUAUUUCGAUACUACCUUUAUUUCUCCUAUUACUUAAACAGAAAAAAAACACCUUUACAAAAAUGUUUGCUUCUUUCGAAGGCAGAUUGUGAGCGCAAAUGAACGGUGACCCCACUUUUUUAUUUAAUUUUUCUAUUAACUAUAAGAUAAAGUUCAUUUAUAGAAAAAUAUAGAGAAAUCCUAUAUAAAUGAUUUAGACCCGCGAACCCCCUUAAUA
rnacentral:lncRNA from 1 species